CAGCAGACUUAGUCCAGGCCAAGCAUGCUUCUUCUAUAUAACGUUGAUAGUGAUAUCCCAUGCCUCCACGUACUGCAAAGAACACACACGAGUGUGCACACACACACACACACAGUGAAAGAGAUUCAUAAAGUCUACCAUAUUAGUAACUAUUAGGAGCAAGCUGUUUGUAUUUAAAAAGCUGAGAUUCAUUUUCAAUUUAAAAGUAAACGUUUUUAAACCUGUAAAGCAAUAACCACUUCCUCCCUUGUGCAAGUGCUGGACGUGAAGCAUAAAGGGCACUUCUUGCUCUCUCUGAAAGAAGCAAUGAAGGCUCAGAAACACUUGGAAGAUCUCCCAACUCAACGGGCUCUUUCACAAUCUGCGUAUGUUUUAUUUCCAGUCCAUCAAAAUUAUCAUUACUCUCAUCACCUAAUUUCAAGUCAGAUUCACCCUUGCACCCUUGACUUUGAUAUCCACCAGUUAUACCAGCUUGGUAAAUAGCUCUAAGAGAUUGUUUACCCCUAGAAAGUAAGCCCUUCCUUGUGACACUCUCCUUCGUUACAAUUUCAGAUGAGUGGCCAACCAUUUCUGCUGUAUUAUCAUUUUUCUCAUCUGCAUUUGAAUUAUCUCCAGAAUCUGAAGAUGACAAUAAAGAAUAAAGGAAUGCAGUAAAGGAAGAAGUAUCUGACCCAUCAACUAAAUCCUCAUUUUCCUCUUCGUUAAUCGACUCUAGCUGACUCCUUUUUGGCUCACUCAGGUCUUCCUAUCCAAAUAAUAAAUAAAGAGCCAUAAUUUGGCAACUUUCAACAGUCUAAACUUAUCAUUAUUACAUUAAAAUGCUCAAACAAAUGGAAGAACACCAAGACUACUUGAAUAAGAGUAUAAUUUAUUAAGCUAUCAGUUGACAGUUUUAACUCGUAAUGGGAUACCUUCAUGCUUUAGUUUACAGAAGAAGGUACUAAGAUAAGCAUAUAAAAUUCUCAUAAAUCCCCCAAUAGUAAACUCUAAUAGUGAAAUAUAUUCAGCUUUGAUUGGUGAAUUCUAGCUAAAAAUCGGCCUAAUUAUUCAAAUUAUUGCCAAGGAUUAAUCAUAUAUGAGAAAGGAAUAGGCAUUCACCCUCAACUCAAUAGAACCAUAAGAUAACGUAGGAAAACACCAAAAAGAAGCAUAAAUAAUGGCUCUAAAAAACACCAAGGAUAUUUAAUCAAUUAUCUUAUAAGUAGCAGAUUAAUUUAAAAUUAGCAAAUUUUAAAACCAAAAUGAAAAGGCACCCUUCAAGACAAAAGAAGAGAAUAUGAAUGUACACAACAGAGAGAUAGAAAGUGAACGGCGAUAUCUUGCAGUGGGAGGAGGAGGAGGAGGAGGCUGCUUGGAGGGAUUAACAGAGAGAGGGUUGAGGAAUCGGACAAAAAAACAGAGAGAGGGUUGAGGGAGACCGUGGUGAGAUCAGACACAAAGUGAACUGCUUUGCUCUUAAAUGACUUGGCUUUUCCCAUAUUUAUAAUGGGUUUUUACUAGAAUUGAGAUCAGAUAAUGGAUUUCCACCACAGAAUCACUUCAAAAAGAUUCUUUCUUUACAUAAAGAACGUUAUAAUCCUUUUCUCUCUCUUGCUUCUGCCAUACCAAGUUGCCCCUUCAACAAUGGCUAAUUGUGAUGGGCACCCCGUCAAGCUCGUAGUAGACACUGUGACACCUGAAUUGACCCACUCACGGCCAAGGGCCAACCAACUCCAGGCAACUAUUCGGGUUGCGCUUGGAUUAAAAUCAACCUGGUUAAACUCCGCAUCAUAAUUGAUUAACGGUUGUCACCAAGACGACACCAGCCUAUAACAAAGCCCAACGUGCAAUAAUAAUGUGCAAACGAGAGAAUCCGACU
rnacentral:misc_RNA from 1 species